rnacentral:rRNA from 1 species
AGUGAACGCUGGCGGUAGGCCUAACACAUGCAAGUCGAACGGCAGCACAGUAAGAGCUUGCUCUUACGGGUGGCGAGUGGCGGACGGGUGAGGAAUACAUCGGAAUCUACUUUUUCGUGGGGGAUAACGUAGGGAAACUUACGCUAAUACCGCAUACGACCUACGGGUGAAAGCAGGGGAUCUUCGGACCUUGCGCGAUUGAAUGAGCCGAUGUCGGAUUAGCUAGUUGGCGGGGUAAAGGCCCACCAAGGCGACGAUCCGUAGCUGGUCUGAGAGGAUGAUGAGCCACACUGGAACUGAGACACGGUCCAGACUCCUACGGGAGGCAGCAGUGGGGAAUAGUGGACAAUGGGCGCAAGCCUGAUCCAGCCAUACCGCGUGGGUGAAGAAGGCCUUCGGGUUGUAAAGCCCUUUUGUUGGGAAAGAAAAGCAGCAGGUUAAUACCCCGCUGUUCUGACGGUACCCAAAGAAUAAGCACCGGCUAACUUCGUG